AGACAUCCUCAUGCCACGAGAACAUGGUUUGCUUCACGAUAGAUACUUGGAAGAAGUUUUAGUGGUUGUGAGUUGUUUCCUCAUAAAACCAAUUCCGCAAGUUCUAAAAAAGCAAUAUUUCUAAUAUGUUAGUAAACAAAAACCUAUUUAUCAAAUUGAAAUAAAUUAUUAAAAUUUAGUUCUCUUUAUAAACACUGGCAGAAUUCUGUAGAUACAGUUUUAACCCAGAUAAUUGAGUAGUUACAUAGGUGAAAAAAUAUUAAAAUUUGUUAAGACAAAACAGUAGCUGCAACUAUUUUAAUGCGAAGGCAGAGAGCUAAAGUAAGAGUAAGUUGAGAUUCAUUUACCAAUCUUGUUCCGAUCACCCAAGAGAGUAGUUUCUGAGAUCUGACAGUUUCUGAGAUCUGACAAUGUGACGUUAAAUAUAUUUUCAGGUUUUAAUAAACAUACCUACAUGGCGCUAUUGGCUACAUGAAGGAUCCG
rnacentral:lncRNA from 1 species